GCUGGUGUUGCUCAUGUUGGUUUGAGCGCCUGUCUUGUAAACAGGAGAACGCGGGUUCAAUUCCUGUCACCAGCUC
rnacentral:tRNA from 4 species